rnacentral:rRNA from 1 species
GCGCACCAGGCGAGAAACCUCCGCAAUACACGAAAGUGUGACGGGCCAUCCCGAGUGCCGUCCGCUGAGGACGGCUUUCCCCAGUGUACACAGCUGGGGGAAUAAGGAGAGGGCAAGCCUGGUGUCAGCCGCCGCGGUAAUACCAGCUCUCCGAGUGGUGGGACGCUUAUUGGGCCUAAAGCAAUCCGUAGCCGGCUGGGCAAGUCCUCCGUUAAAUCCAACGAUUCAAUCGUU